GAUGAACGCUGGCGGCGUGCUUAAUACAUGCAAGUCGAGCGAAAAGACGCGGCGCUUGCUCUUCUGACGUUAGCGGCGGACGGGUGAGUAACACGUGGAUAACCCACCUAUAAGAGUGGGAUAAGUUCGGGAAACCGGAGCUAAUACUGGAUAAUAUAUUGAAUCGCAUGGUUGAAUAGUGAAAGACGGUUUUGCUGUCACUUAUAGCUGGAUCCGCGCUGUAUUAGUUAGUGGGUAAGGUAACGGCUUAUGAAGGCAACAUGGCGUAGCCGAACUGAGAGGGUGAUCGGCCAUGCGGGGGCUGAGAGACACUCCGGGCUCCGAAGGCAGGCAGGAGUAGUGAGGGUUGCGCAAGGGGCGAAAGCCUGACGAAGGGACGCCGCGUGAUUGAUGAAGGUCUUCUGGUCGUAAAACGCUUUUAUGUUGUAAAAACAAAUGUGUAGGUAACGAUGCUCGUGUGAACGUAACCUGAUCAGAAGGCCCCGCCAACCUACUU
rnacentral:rRNA from 1 species